rnacentral:rRNA from 1 species
CGUACGGGUGAGUAACACGUGGAUCAGUCUACCUUCUAGUGGGGAAUACCGUUGGGAAACCGACGACAAUACCGCAUAAGCUCGAGAGAGGAAAGCAGCAAUGCGCUGGAAGAGGAGUCCGCGGUCGAUUAGUUAGUUGGCAGGGUAAAGGCCUACCAAGACUGUGAUCGAUAGCCGGCCUGAGAGGGCACACGGCCACACUGGCACUGAAACACGGGCCAG